GGGGCUGUCUAGGUUUCGACAGAAAUAUUAGGCUCUAGAUUGCAAGUCGAAGGUACGCGUUAAGUACAAGCAAAAAUAAAUGCAAAAAAUAAAUUAAAAAAUGUAUUUAGUGGAGCUUUAACUCCAUCUUUCGCUUAAUAGAACUUAAGCAAAUACAGCUCUUUAUUAUCUAAUUCUGCGUAGAUUUUAAAGGGUUCGAUUUUAGCAGAAUAUAUUAUAAUCUUGACUAGGGGUUAUAAUGAAUUAAACUAGUCUACCAAAUUAAAAAGUUGUUAGUUGCCUUAUUUAAUUUGGAAAAUGUUCAACUAACUAAACUUGUAGAUAUCUUUUGUGAGAUAUUUUUGGACAGGAGUUCGAUUCUCCUCAGCUCCACCA
rnacentral:tmRNA from 1 species